rnacentral:rRNA from 1 species
UACGAAGGACCCAAGCGUUAUCCGGAUUUAUUGGGUUUAAAGGGUGCGUAGGCGGGUUAUUAAGUCAGUGGUGAAAGCCUUCAGCUUAACUGAAGAAUUGCCAUUGAUACUGAUGAUCUUGAGUAUGAUUGAGGUUGGCGGAAUGUGUCAUGUAGCGGUGAAAUGCUUAGAUAUGACAUAGAACACCAAUUGCGAAGGCAGCUCGCUACACGAAUAUUGACUCUGAGGCACGAAAGCGUGGGGAUCAAACAGG